ensembl:lncRNA
GGCCAAUCAGAAGCUUCUAAACAUCAAUACAUCAAUUUCUGGAAUUUGCAAAGCGUGUGGAAGUUGGAAUUAUGAUGUAGUGAAUAAAAGCUGAAAUUAAGCUGUUUCCAAUCCAUCGUUUUAAAAUUACGUAUCUCUGAUGUGAACAAAGUAGAUGCCCUAGUAGACGUGCCAAAAAAAAAAAAAAAAAAAGGUAUGGUUACUUCAAACUUGACUGAUUAUCUUAACCUAGGUGUAUGUAAACUUUUGGCCUCAAUUGUACAGAUAUUGUGAAGGGUUAUUUACCUGGCCAUGGGAGCCAUUCCCAUGCUAUUCUGUACCAUCACUUUAUUAAUUCCUUUGAGGGCCACCAUCUUGGCCUUCAUGAUUGGGUCUGUAAUAGCAUCAAAGUCUAUACAAAAAAAAAAAAAAACCCCAGUGAAGACAAAAACAUUGCAGUUACUGGACUGUGCAACAUUUAGACAGUUUAUACUUGAUCAUUUAAUGCGUCUUGACUUGAUCCAAGUUAUAUAAUGUUAUCAGCAUAAAAUCCAGAUACAAGAUGCAUAAUGUGACCAAGAUGCAUAAGAUGCAUAAAUGGGGUCUUACAUUCCUUUGACUUUCAUAGCACUGACUUGCAUAUUAAUGAACGAUUGACAUUUAAACAGUAAUAGUAAUAAAACCUUACCAAUAUUAGGGAAAAAGGGGUCAGUAGAGCGUUGCCGAAUCAUAGCCUGCAUCUGCCUUUGUUGUUGCUGCUCCUGCCUCUCCUGAUCCAACAGAUCUUGCAGAAGGAGUGGUUGCUCAUCUAACAGCAGUGGCCUGUUUGUCUGGCCUUGCUGUAUUUUUUGCCCUUGCUGGCCUAUGGACCCUUGUGGAUACAUCACCUGCUGGGCCUGUGGAUGAAGAGUGUGGGGGACAGGUUGCUGCCCAACCAUCAUGGGCAGGUUUAUAUCCACUUGCUGGCCCGGUGAAGCUCCAAAUCCUUGGACUGGUAUCUGCUGACUGCCAACUGGCAAUGUAUUUGGGUUUCCUAGUGGUGCUCCAUGAGCGAGUGACACAUCCAUUCUGUGCCCUACAGUCAUUGCAGGGUUCAUCCCGUGGUCUUUCCUUUGACCCUGCAACAUCAUGCCCAUGUUGGGCUGAAGUUCCGGACCAUGGUUAGCCUGGACAAGAUUACCCUGGUGAGGGGGUGCUACAGGGCCGAUCCCAGAGUCAUCAAGUUUCUCUUUGGUUAAAAGGCUUGAGAGCACUGGAGCAGAACCAGAAGGGACCCCUGCACUUGAUAAACCAAUCUGCUGAGGUGAUCCCUCAAAGAGACUGGACAUUUCUCCUUGGCUAUUUUUACUCUCUAGAGACCUGUUGUCAUCAACAGACUGGUCCUCACUGAUGACUGAAUCCUGUUUAACCUCUGUUUUUAUAGUACUUGUUGUCAAGAGACCAUCAGUGCUUUCCACUUCUAGGUUCUCUUCUUGUUUGCCAUGAGAAGGUCGCUCACCAUCCUCUGAUUUAUUCACAGUUUGAGGAGAUUUCUUCUCAUACAGGACCUUCUGAAGGACAGAGGUUUCCCCAUGAUCAUCCUCUAUGGGGUCACUCAGAUCUAGCUCCUCAUUAAACAUAUCCUUCUUGUCCUCAAGGUUCAGCUCAGGAUCAGCAUAAGCAAGGAGGUCGAAUUUCCCAGAUUCAAUCAAAUCGUCAAGGUGAAGGUCAUUUGUUUCCAAAUCUAUCUCCUUACCAUCAUCCGCAUCAAGGUUCAAGUUUUCCAAAUCAUCAUCAACCAAAUCUUUGACCUCUACAUCCUCAAGGUCCUUCACUGCCGAGUCAUCUGCAUCUAACUUCUCCUCUAUUCCAUCACCACAAGGCAGUGGGAUAUCUUCUGUUGAACCUCGGACUGUCCCAGCUAGAAGUGUUGGUUGGGUAGAAUUAAGUGCUUCGCCACUAACUGAAUGAGUGAUUGUGGUUGACAGUGGAGGAUGUUGUGGAGCAGUAUUCUCUGGCAUGUUUGCUUGCUGAUGCAAAUUCUCUAUGCUUGCUGACAUUUGCAGGUGCCCAACAGAUCCUUGCUGGGGUUGACCAAUCAUUGGAGUCAAAGGCCGUGGACCCUGGGUCCCAGGAAAGGCCAUAUGUUGCCCUCCCAUUAAGCUGGUUGAAGAUCUUUGAGGAUGAUUCGGAUGGUCCAUGAUGUUGGGUGGCAGAAAUGGUAGUCUGACUCGAUUCUCUGGUGCCCUAUGUCGAAGCUCAAUAAAAGGCUGGCCCAUUAUGUUGUGUGGCUGCACUGGAAGGCCACGUGGUAGAAAUUGGAGGGAGCCUUUCACCUGACUGUGAACAUGGGGUCAUAGGUGACUCAAAAGAGUCAUGUAUAGGGGUUUGAUUAGUCUGUGGCAAGGAGAAGUUUUCAUCUGAAAUUCCAAGGUGUUUGGGGGUUUGAGAACCUGGGCCAGCUGGAUGAGCAAAUGAAUCAGUCAUCCUGUUUUGAACAUGAUGACUAAAAGGAUCUGAGGUAUGAACCAUAGGGCUUGGCCUUGGGGUUCCAGGAGGUUGAGCAUAUGGGUCAUUGAGAACUGGUCUCGGUGUUCCAGGUGGUUGAUCAUACGGAUCUGAUUUGGUGGGCCGAGGUGUUCCAGCAGCCUGUGUGUAUGCUUCUGCAUUUCUCUGAUUACCUGGGGAUUUAGAGUACCUUUCUCCUGCUGCUGGUCUUGGAGUACCUGGCAUUUGGGCAUAUGGAUCCAUAGUGUGAGAUGGAGACUGCCUGCAGCUAGAUGACUGUGCCUGAGAAAACUGUUCUAUAGGUCGAGGUGUAGAAGGAGGAACUGAAAACGGAUCAGAAUGUGGCCUUGGGGUACCAGGAGGCUGGGAACAGGCUUCAUGAGGUCGGGGAGUACCAGGAGGCUGAGAAUAGGGAUCAGCCAUUUGUGAAGAGUACUCUGGUCUAGGUGUAGAUGGUGCCUGUGCAUAUGGAUCCCUUUGAGGAUGCCUGGUCAUUAGCAUAGGUUGUGUAAAGUGACCUCCUGAAGCCUGACGCAUCAUUCUGCCAUCAGUGUUGAAAGCAUCUCCCAGUGAUGAAUGAGGAGUUAGAGGCUGAUGCGCGUAAGGAUCAGUUUGCUGACCCUGAGUAAAGCCAUCUGAUGGUCCACGCCUCAUGCUUAGCUGUCCUGUACUGAAGGAGUCUUGGAGAGGAUGUGAGGGAGGCAUGGGAGUUUUAAAAAGUGGCACAGAACCAGAUUCAUUACUUCCAGGAAUAGGUGUUAACAGUGGCCUUGAGUAAGGGUCUGAUAGCACAACACGUUGAGGCAUUCGCUGGUAUGCCUCUAAUCUCUGGUUUGGCCUGGUGAAAUCUCCAGAUGUAGUAUUAGCCAACAUGUAUCUACCCUGUUGUUGCUGAAGAUGCAGCUGCUGCUCUGAUACAGACCCAGGCCUGGAGAGUCCUAAGGGUUUCACAAAUGGGUCUGUUGGCCUGGGUGUGUCUGGUGGUUUUGAAUGAACGUCAGCAUUCGCAGAUGUUGGUGAACCAAAUGACUCGUGGGCUGGAGAGGGCCUGCCCCUUUCCUGCAUGUCAGAUACCGAGCAUCUAUGAGGUGUACUUGAUCCCGAUGGUGAGGGUCGAGGAGUACCUGCCAUUUUAGCAUAUGGAUCCCAAGGAGAAGAUGGACGGGAGCCUGAUGAACCUGGAGAAAACAUCUGAGGAGACUGAGGCUGAGAUGAUGACCCCUGGGGGUACUGGGUAUCCUGGGUGGGAGUUUUUGCUGCUGAUGAUGGGGGUGGCAAUUGGGGACGCAAAAAUACAUCAUCUGAAGAUGAGCUUGAGGUUGGUGUCCCAGGAAGUUGGGGCCUCACAAAGGUAUCCUUGAUUGUCGUAGGCUGUAGAGGGGAUGUGCUGCCUCCAUUGGUGGGCUGAGGUGUCAUGGGACUUUUACUCCCACUGUUAGAGGUAUCUCCACUUGACUGGCCACUGAAUUGUUGCUGCUGCUGUUGUUGCUGUUGAAGUUGCUGCUGUUCAUUUUUAACCUGCUCAAGCUUCUGAGUGGCUUCAAUCUUCGCCUGCUGUUUGCUCUUUUGUCUCAUUUGCUGCCGUGGAAACCAGAAAGCAAAUGAAACACUUCAG